UACCUGUCCAUUCCAAGGAUUCGGUCCAGCAGAAGCGUGAGGAGGUGGCGGAGGCCCCGAGGGCUUUGCGUCAUCACUUCUGCGGCCUGCGGGCGAGAAGGUGCGCUUCGGGAGUAGCGCGGGAGGACAGGAGGCGCAGGUUGUGAGGGACGCAGGCCCUGGGGCUUCGGUCUCUGUCCUCCGAGCUCAGAGCCUCCAGGCUUCUUCCCGGCCGCGCGCUCAGCACUCACUGUCUUACGGUCCCGAAGCGCUUUAAGGUGCGCAGUCCGCAGGCCUUGCCUACUGAUCUUCCAGCCACCCCUUGAAGGAAGCAGUUGCAGAGGCAUAGAGCCGGCCAUCUCGCACAAUGUCUUCUACCAGCUGCUCAUAGUCCUCUGCAAAGUCAACCAAGACGCUGAGCACAGUGCCAAACCUAUAUAGAAACUCAUUUGGGAUAUGGAGGAGAAUAUGCCACCAGUUCUCCAAAGUGGAGGGUUCUUCCCAGCAGGAAACCUCUCAACUCUGGCUGGCUGACCUGCUGCCCUAGCCUCCCCCCUCCUCUCGCAGCUGUUGGGCCAAAAGACACAAAGAACGAGCCCAGUCCUCCUCGUCCCCACUCCUUGUGACCAGGGGAUAUGGACCUAAUGAAUCAUCAUUUUCAGUAUGGCUACCCUGCCUUUUUCCUCCACCCUUUCCCCCCAUUCUCCCUCAGACCUGGCUAAUUAAAAGGAAGGGAAACAGAAUGCAUAAUGUGGGUAACUAUACUGUAAUAACAGUUAACACAAAGUGUUUCCAUUUGCCAAGCACUGUUCUAAGUACUUUUUAUGUAAUCACUCUUUUAAUCACAACACAGUAUGAGGCGAGCACUAUGGAAAACUGAGGCACAGAGACAUUAAGUGACUUGUCCAGGAUCACAGAGCUAGUAGGAGACAGGGCUGGGAUCUGAACCCAGCUUCAGUCCUCCUAACUAGUAUCCUACUCUCCCUUUGACCAGUACAGCCUUUCGAGGGGUAGACAUCAUUUCCCCAGAGCCCACUGGGAAGGUCUGAGGAAUGUGGGGUAAGAAGGUUAUGGAACACACCUGUGACCUCAUGCACACACACAGUCAGGGCUCAAAUAUCCUUCCAGACCCAGGAGCAAAUGUGAAUCGCAUGUCCAUUAACUAAGAGGGUUAGGGACCCAUGGGGGAUAGGAAUGAGAGUAGGGAAACAAGGUGGGGUAGGGGAAGGGGGCACUAAGGAACUGGCUGGACUUCUCUGUCCCUUGAACUGAGAUGAAACAGGCAGAUAGGAGACAACCCUUAGCUAUGUCCUGGGUUCUUCAUAAGAAGGAGGUUGAGGAGGUGUCAUCCCCUAAUAGGCACCCUAUCUCUGGUCCCAACCUCAGCCCCUUACCAAAGGUCACUCUGCUUCUGUCCUCUCAAAGUCCUUACCUUUGCACGUCUUCCUGUCUGGCUG
rnacentral:lncRNA from 1 species